CAGCAUGUGCCCGCAAUUGCCUUGCGUGUAUGAUUACACUAACGACGUCGCCCACCACGGCGGAAGUGUUUUGCGUACACGCGUUUCAGCAUGAAGCCUGCAGGUGGACGUAAAUUGUAGAAGGCAGCUAGUGGGGGAGAAGAUCAUGGCCAUAGGUCAUGUGGCUCCUGGAGCUCCCAGUGGGCUCCCUUGUGGAGUACUUUUCAGAACACACACACACACAGGUUGUUCACAGAACCAACGAGUAGGAUGUUACUUGAAUACCAAGAGAAAAUGGCGUAACACAUACAAAUAUCAUGUGACACAUAUGACAAUAAAAACAUUUUUCACGAGGGA